ensembl:lncRNA FCGR1BP Fc gamma receptor Ib, pseudogene
AGAACCUCUUCAAUAUCUUGCAUGUUACAGAUUUCACUACUCCCACCAGCUUGGAGACAACAUGUGGUUCUUGACAACUCUGCUCCUUUGGGUUCCAGUUGAUGGGCAAGUGGGCUGGCUACUACUGCAGGUCUCCAGCAGAGUCUUCAUGGAAGGAGAACCUCUGGCCUUGAGGUGUCAUGCGUGGAAGGAUAAGCUGGUGUACAAUGUGCUUUACUAUCGAAAUGGCAAAGCCUUUAAGUUUUUCCACUGGAAUUCUAACCUCACCAUUCUGAAAACCAACAUAAGUCACAAUGGCACCUACCAUUGCUCAGGCAUGGGAAAGCAUCGCUACACAUCAGCAGGAAUAUCACAAUACACUGUGAAAGGCCUCCAGUUACCAACUCCUGUCUGGUUUCAUGUCCUUUUCUAUCUGGCAGUGGGAAUAAUGUUUUUAGUGAACACUGUUCUCUGGGUGACAAUACGUAAAGAACUGAAAAGAAAGAAAAAGUGGAAUUUAGAAAUCUCUUUGGAUUCUGGUCAUGAGAAGAAGGUAAUUUCCAGCCUUCAAGAAGACAGACAUUUAGAAGAAGAGCUGAAAUGUCAGGAACAAAAAGAAGAACAGCUGCAGGAAGGGGUGCACCGGAAGGAGCCCCAGGGGGCCACGUAGCAGCGGCUCAGUUGGUGGCCAUCGAUCUGGACCGUCCCCUGCCCACUUGCUCCCCGUGAGCACUGCGUACAAACAUCCAAAAGUUCAACAACACCAGAACUGUGUGUCUCAUGGUAUAUAACUCUUAAAGCAAAUAAAUGAACUGACUUCAACUGGGAUACAUUUGGAAAUGUGGUCAUCAAAGAUGACUUGAAAUGA